rnacentral:tRNA from 1 species
GUCUUUGUAGUUUAUAGAAAAUAUUAGUCUUGUAAGCUAAAGUAGAAUUAUCCAAAGACUC